rnacentral:lncRNA from 1 species
CUGGCUCUGAGAAGGAAACAGGAAGUGGCAGAUGGAAGGGUGGUUUUUCUUCCCAGGGUCUCCCCAAGAGCUGCUUCCUUUGACUCCUGCUGUGUGUAGUUCUGCUGACAAUGACCUGGACAGCUCUGCGCCAUGCACAGCGUCUCUUUUCUCCGACUUACCAAAUUUUAGACACUACUGACUCCUCCAUGUGAAAGAUGGGAAUUCAGCUACAUCACAUUACCCUACAAACUUUAUUGUUAAUGUAAUUAUUUUUAUUUCUUCUACUGCUUUUUUGGUAACUUUAUUUAUUUAUUUAUUUAUUAUUUAUUUUCGAGAUGCAAUUUCGCUCUUAUUGCCCAGGCUGGAGUGCAGCGGCACAGUCUCGGCUCACUGCAACCUCUGCCUUCUGGGUUCAAGUGAUUUUCUUGCCUCAGCCUCCCGAGUAGCUGGGAUUACAGGUGCCCACCACUACGCCCAGCUAAUUUUCUAUUUUUAGUAGAGACGGAGUUUCACUAUGUUGGUUGGGCUGGUCUCGAACUCCUGACCUCAGGUGAUCUGCCCACCUCAGCCUCCCAAAGUGCUGGGAUUACAGGUGUGAGCCACCAUGCCCAGACUUUUUUUUUUUUUUUUUUUUUGAGACAGUUUCUCUCUGUUGCCUAUGCUGGAGUGCGGUGGCGUGAUCUCAGCUAACUGCAACCUCUGCCUCCCGGGUUCAAGUGACUCUCCUGCCUCAGCCUCCCAAGUAGCUAGGCCUACAGGCGCGCACCACUACACCCAGCUAAUUUUUGUAUUUUUAGUAAAGAUGGGGUUUCACCACGUUGGCCAGGCUGGUCUGGAACUCCCGACCUCAGGUGAUCGCCCACCUCAGCCUCCCAAAGUGCUGGGAUUACAGGCUUGAACCACUGCGCCCGGCAUAUGUUUUAAUUUAAUUUUUAAAGACAGGGUCUUGCUCUGUCACCCAGGAUGGAGUGCAGUGGUGUGGACACAGCUCACUGCAGCCUCGAACUCCGGGGCCCAAUCGAUCCUCCCACCUAGUCCUCCUGUGUGACUGGGACUACAGGCGUACACCACGCUGCCAGCUACUUUUUGUAUUUUUGCAGAGCGGGGUUUCACCGUGUUGCUCAGGCUGGUCUUGAAUUCCUGAGCUUAAGUGAUCUGACUGCCUCAGCCUCCCAGAUUGCUGGGAUUACAGGCAUGAGCCACUGCUCCCGGCCCUUGGUAACUUUAAAUAAUAUUCUUUCUGCUAUUAGGGAAACAAGAGCCUAGGAGAGCCAGGGUCACAACAUCUUAAAACAAACUUCAUCUUAAAACUAGUAAAGGACAUUCCUUGCCAGUCACAUAGUACUGAGAUAUUUACAAAUGAGAAAACAGCUUAAAAAUACCUGCAAGGACACACUCCCACAACGAUGAAAAGUCCAGAUGUUCUGAUAGACACAAUAAUAUAUGCUUUCAAGAUAAUUCUACUUAUGCUGUUUGUACCUGCAUACUAAAAUGUCAAGGAUAGUUUUCUUUAAAUCAACCGAAUAAUAAAUUCUGUCAUGCUAUCAGCCCACCCGCGCACGUGGGCACAGCUUAGUUUAGUCUUUAUACAGAUAAGACCCCCAUAUAAAAAAAACUUAAAGCGGGCGCAUUUUCUCUGCUUUCUGAGGUCGUCUCGCUCUGUAACUGAGUGGCUUUCAAUAAUGAGCUUUUAGGCCAAGUGCAGUCGCUCACGCCUAUAAUCCCAGCACUUUGGGAGGCCGAGGCAGGCGGAUCACCAGAGGUCAGGAGUUCGAGACCAGCCUGGCUAACGUGCUAAAAUCCCAUCUUUACUAAAAAUGCGAAAAUUAGCCAGGCGUGGUGGUGGGGGCCUGUAAUCCCAGCUACUCGGGAGGCUGAGACAGGAGAAUUGCUUGAAACCGGGAGGCAGAGCUUGCAGUGAGCUGAGAUGGUGACAUUGUACUCCAGCCUGGGCAACAGAGUGAGACUCCGUCUCAAAAAAAAAAAGAAUAUGUUUACUUUCACACUCACCUCUGACCUCCUCUUGGGAAGACGAGGUUACCGGUGCCUUCCCUUCUCUUCCACUUUCAGAUUUCUUCCCGGUCAGCCCCAAACACUGAAUGUAAAUACGGUCCAACAUCAACCUGCAAACGAACACUGACAUGAAAGUGCAGUUGGAAAGGAUCUCGCAAAGGAACAGAAUCUGGUGAUCCUAAUCGUAAUGAACGUGAUCGCCGGGUAUUGAGAGCUUGCAGGUACCAGGGCUCCGGCACUACGUGUUUCACAGGGGCCACUCGGUAGACCUCUUGGUGACCUUGAGGUCAGGUACCACGUUCCCAUUUUACAGAGGAGGAAACUGAGAUAACCUACGACAGCGAAAAGGUAGCAGAGCUGGGACUGGUGCCCAGGCUCGCCGAGUGGAAAAGCCCUCGGCCACCGUGGAGAGCUCGCUUCCUGUGGUCUGAAGCGUCGCCCCUGCACCGGCUUCUGCUGCCAAGGAUGGCUUUUCCUCACUGGUGCCCACCUACGCUCACUUGUGUCAUGUGGUUAAGCCCUUUUGGCAACAUAAGACCUUUCCCAAGAAUGUGCCUCGGUGCAGAGGAAGACGGUGGGGGCAGGCCCCCUCCCCGGGAUGCUCCACCCUCCCUGACCUCACACGGGUGCAACCUGGGCCGUGGCCGAGACCUGCUGUGUGGCAGACAAUGGGAAGCCUGUGUGUCGUCCUGGGUGCCGGAUUUAGACAAUAUUUAGCUUUCCCUUGGUGGAAAAGCCUUUCCCCUCCUGCUUUGGGCAGGAACUGGUUCCUGUUGGGCGGGGCCUGGCUGCUGCCCCACCCCCACCCGGCCGGGCACCUUGACCGGCAGCUCUCCGGGCUGCUCCCUGCCUGUGUCCCUGAGCACUGACUCCAGAGGUUUAAUCAUUAACGGGCACGUUUGGCCUUCGGUCGUGGGCUGGAAUUUGGGACCUGUGCCCGGGAACAAUGAUCUCCGACACAUUAUUUUGUGUAAAAUCACUUUUAGCUGCCAUUAGCUAAUAAAGCUGGAAUAAAGUGAGGUCCAU